GACACGCUGGCGGCGUGCUUAAUACAUGCAAGUCGAGCGAGGCCUUGGAAUUGGAGUCCUUCGGGAUGAAGAGUCCUUGGCCUAGCGGCGGACGGGUGAGUAACGCGUGGGCAACCUACCCCAAAGUCCGGGAUAACAGUGGGAAAACCGCUGCUAAUACCGGAUGGCUUUACCUGAGGGCAUCCUUGGGUAAAGAAAGGUUACGCUUUGGGAUGGGCCCGCGUCCCAUUAGCUAGUUGGUGAGGUAACGGCCCACCAAGGCCACGAUGGGUAGCCGGCCUGAGAGGGUGAACGGCCACACUGGGACUGAGACACGGCCCAGACUCCUACGGGAGGCAGCAGUAGGGAAUAUUGCGCAAUGGGCGGAAGCCUGACGCAGCGACGCCGCGUGAGCGAAGAAGGCCUUCGGGUCGUAAAGCUUUUCUGUCCUUGGGGAAGAAGGCGAAAGCUUGACGGUACCCAAGAAGAAAGCCCCGGCUAACUACGUG
rnacentral:rRNA from 1 species